rnacentral:rRNA from 1 species
CCGGGAGGGAUCAGCGGCGAACGGGUGAGUAACACGUGGGCAACCUGCCCUCAGCUCUGGGAUAACUCCGGGAAACCGGGGCUAAUACCGGAUACGACUUCCUGCGGCAUCUUGGGAAGUGGAAAGUUUUUCGGCUGAGGAUGGGCCCGCGGCCUAUCAGCUUGUUGGUGGGGUAAUGGCCCACCAAGGCGACGACGGGUAGCCGGCCUGAGAGGGCGACCGGCCACACUGGGACUGAGACACGGCCCAG